GUGUAAUGACACAGAGAGCAGUGUGCUGGUUGAGACGAUUGAGGUGAGUUGAGUUAUAUUAUAUUUUCCAAUCAGAAGACAGAUUUACACGUACAAGACACACCCCCUCUCCCUACAUCGUUACAAACCUCUGUACGUUUCCUGUAAGACAGCAGACGCUUGAGUUAACUCCCCAAGUUCAGAUAAGGCCUUUAGCUCAGCGGACACACAAAACAAGAUUCAGCUAUCAUCAUCAUCAUCAUCAUCAUCAUCAUCAUCAUUAUCAUCAUUCAGUAGAGUUAACUCCCCAAGUUCAGAUAAGGCCUUUAGCUCAGCGGACACACAAAACAAGAUUCAGCUAUCAUCAUCAUCAUCAUCAUCAUCAUUAUCCUCAUUGUCAUCCUCCUCCUCCUCAUCAUCAUCAUCCUCAGUCACUCUUGACACAAGAAAGAAACAAUACAUUUCCAGUAUUUUACAGUUUGACACAUUUAACUGCAUGGUAAUAUAAUCAGAACUCUCUUUAAACAGUUACAGAACACUUCCCAACCCCCCGGGACUAAUAACCAGUUAACUAACCAAGUACUAACUAACCACCCUGGUUAACUAACCAAGUACUAACUAACCACCCUGGUUAACUAACCAAGUACUAACUAACCACCCUGGUUAACUAACCAAGUACAAACUAACUCCCCUGGUUAACUAACCAAGUACUAACUAACCACCCUGGUUAACUAACCAAGUACUAACUAACCACCCUGGUUAACUAACCAAGUAUGAACUAACCACCCUGGUUAACUAACCAAGUACUAACUAACCACCCUGGUUAACUAACCAAGUACUAACUAACCACCCUGGUUAACUAACCAAGUACUAACUAACCACCCUGGUUAAGUAUAAACAACAACAUCUCUGUUUGGCAGUGGUCAGAUAAUUCCUAGACAGCGUCUGAAAUCACACCCUAUUCCCUAUGAAGUGCACUACUUUCUACUGAGCCAGGGCCCUAUAGCAGGUCACUAUAGAGGGAAUGGGCCCUAUAGCAGGUCACUAUAGAGGGAAUGGGCCCUAUAGCAGGUCACUAUAGAGGGAAUGGGCCCUAUAGCAGGUCACUAUAGAGGGAAUGGGCCCUAUAGCAGGUCACUAUAGAGGGAAUGGGCCCUAUAGCAGGUCACUAUAGAGGGAAUGGGCCCUAUAGCAGGUCACUAUAGAGGGAAUGGGCCCUAUAGCAGGUCACUAUAGAGGGAAUGGGCCCUAUAGCAGGUCACUAUAGAGGGAAUGGGCCCUAUAGCAGGUCACUAUAGAGGGAAUGGGCCCUAUAGCAGGUCACUAUAGAGGGAAUGGGCCCUAUAGCAGGUCACUAUAGAGGGAAUGGGCCCUAUAGCAGGUCACUAUAGAGGGAAUGGGCCCUAUAGCAGGUCACUAUAGAGGGAAUGGGCCCUCCUUGGUCAAUAGCAGGUCACUAAAAGAGGGAAUGGGCCCUCCCUGGUCAAUAGCAGGUCACUAUAGAGGGAAUGGGCCCUCCCUGGUCAAUAGCAGGUCACUAUAGAGGGAAUGGUCCCUAUAGCAGGUCACUAUAGAGGGAAUGGGCCCUGGUCAAUAGCAGGUCACUAUAGAGGGAAUGGGCCCUGGUCAAUAGCAGGUCACUAUGGGGAAUGGGCCCUCUCUGGUCAAUAGCAGGUCACUAUGGGGAACGGGCCCUGGUCCCUGGAGCGAUAUCUAGAGGAUGUGUGGUUGGACCGGGUUGACAAGACUAUUGGAGAUGAGCCCUGGUGUGUCCGUGCGUUUCCAGUUGCAGUGAAUGCUAUUCCCGAGGUGUGGGGUUGUUUGGGGCUCUGUGGCACAAAAUGGCUGCCGUGUGUCUCCCCCGUAACGGAGGACACUGGACCCUGAACUCUGACCCUGCUUUGGCACAGUUUUACAGUAACGUAACAUGGUGUGUGAGGUGGUGGUGGUGACAGUACCCAAGGAGGAUACGUGUUUUCAGCCUCCCUCGUUGUAAUAGCACGAUGCUAACAUUUCACAACAGUUCUAAAUCCCUAACGGGAGAUCCCUAAAUCAAUACAAACAAAACAACAAUACCCUGAUUGAUCAUUAAACAGUAAGAAAGUCGAUCAGUUCGAUCAGUCGGUCAAAUAUUGAUCCCAGUAACAGUUGGGAGGUCAUUUGAUGGGUUGAUGGUGGGAAUGUAACUCAUUGAUUUGAUUAUCGAUUAGUUGAAAAAUCGAUCGAUUCAGCAUUUUUUUUGUGUUUGUUGUAGGAUUUCAUACACAUGGGGUCCUUCUGUUCUGUUUUGAGUAGAAGUUGUCUUUAACCGCUGAUCAGAGGUCAGAUCUCCGUAAUGGUUCAGGUUAAGACUAGGGGCAUGGGGAAUCUGAUCCUAGAUCUGUGUUUAGGUUAGAACAGUAGAUAUGGGUAGUUAAGACUAGGGGCAUGGGGAAUCUGAUCCUAGAUCUGUGUUUAGGUUUGAACAGUAGAUAUGGGUAGUUAAGACUAGCGGCAUGGGGAAUCUGAUCCUAGAUCUGUGUUUAGGUUAGAACAGUAGAUAUGGGUAGUUAAGACUAGGGGCAUGAGGAAUCUGAUCCUAGAUCUGUGUUUAGGUUAGAACAGUAGAUAUGGGUAGUUAAGACUAGGGGCAUGGGGAAUCUGAUCCUAGAUCUGUGUUUAGGUUUGAACAGUAGAUAUGGGUAGUUAAGACUAGGGGCAUGGGGAAUCUGAUCCUAGAUCUGUGUUUAGGUUAGAACAGUAGAUAUGGGUAGUUAAGACUAGGGGCAUGGGGAAUCUGAUCCUAGAUCUGUGUUUAGGUUUGAACAGUAGAUAUGGGUAGUUAAGACUAGGGGCAUGGGGAAUCUGAUCCUAGAUCUGUGUUUAGGUUAGAACAGUAGAUAUGGGUAGUUAAGACUAGGGGCAUGGGGAAUCUGAUCCUAGAUCUGUGUUUAGGUUAGAACAGUAGAUAUGGGUAGUUAAGACUAGGGGCAUGGGGAAUCUGAUCCUAGAUCUGUGUUUAGGUUAGAACAGUAGAUAUGGGUAGGGCCUCGGCUAUGUCCCAAUUCUCUCCCCUUCCUCCCAAA